UACGUAGGGUCCGAGCGUUGUCCGGAUUUAUUGGGCGUAAAGAGCGUGUAGGCGGCCAAGUAAGUCCGGUGUGAAAACUCGAGGCUUAACCUCGAGAUGUCAUCGGAAACCAUUUGGCUAGAGUCCGGAAGAGGAGAGUGGAAUUCCUGGUGUAGCGGUGAAAUGCGCAGAUAUCAGGAAGAACACCAAUGGCGAAAGCAGCUCUCUGGGACGGUACUGACGCUGAGACGCGAAAGCGUGGGGAGCGAACAGG
rnacentral:rRNA from 1 species